UCCCUAGUGGCUUAGACAGUAAAGAAUCUGCUUGCAAUGUAGGAGACCUGGGUUUGAUCCCUGGGUGGGGAA
rnacentral:tRNA from 1 species